rnacentral:rRNA from 1 species
GAAAUCUGGCUUUCACCGGGCCCGAGUUGUAAUUUGCAGAAGAUGCUUGGGGCGGGGCCGCGUUCUAGGUCCCUUGGAACAGGGCGUCAUAGAGGGUGAGAAUCCCGUACGUGACCGCGCGCCUCUGCCCGUGUCAAGCUCUUUCGACGAGUCGAGUUGUUUGGGAAUGCAGCUCAAAGCGGGUGGUAAAUUCCAUCUAAGGCUAAAUACCGGCCAGAGACCGAUAGCGCACAAGUAGAGUGAUCGAAAGAUGAAAAGCACUUUGGAAAGAGAGUCAAACAGUACGUGAAAUUGUUGAAAGGGAAGCGCUUGCAACCAGACUUGGGCGCCGACGGUCACCCGGUGUUCUCACCGGCGCACUCGGCGGCGCGCAGGCCAGCAUCGGUUCGGGCGGUCGGAGAAAGGCCCUGGAAAUGUGGCUCCCCUUGGGGAGUGUUAUAGCCCGGGGCGCAAUGCGGCCAGCCCGGACCGAGGACCGCGCUUCGGCUAGGAUGCUGGCGUAAUGGUUGUAAUCGACCCGUCUUGAAACACGGACCAAGGAGUCUAACAUCUAUGCGAGUGUUUGGGUGUCAAACCCAUCCGCGCAAUGAAAGUGAACGGAGGUGAGAACCCUGAAGGGUGCAUCAUCGACCGAUCCUGAUGUCUUCGGAUGGAUUUGAGUAAGAGCAUAGCUGUUGGGACCCGAAAGAUGGUGAACUAUGCCUGAAUAGGGUGAAGUCAGAGGAAACUCUGAUGGAGGCUCGCAGCGGUUCUGACGUGCAAAUCGAUCGUCAAAUUUGGGCAUAGGGGCGAAAGACUAAUCGAACCAUCUGGUAGCUGGUUCUGCGA